UUCCUAAAGUGUUAAAGCUCAUGAGAAUUCAUUGAAUCUAGACCAUGAUCCAUGCAUGGUGGACCAUCUCGCAUGUGAGUGGCUCUCACCAUUCAAAUCGUGUGGAAUCCACACCAUUCAUGUGUGGUGUUCCUUCAUAGACCAUAGUCUAGGAAAGAAUUUCCUAGAGGUCCAAACCACAAGUGUUGUUUUUACUUCUCCCAAAUUAUUUCACAUCAAUAACAUCCUUGGAGUUUGACAUUUGUGCCCUUGUAUGAAUAGUUCACCAUAGUGAAAGCGUGGAUCUUUUUCUCGGCUGUGCUGCAUCUCUUCCCAUGAUGCUUUUCCAUGGAAGAGUUAGUGAUUUGGUUAGUUUGAGUGGAUGCCUUUGGAUGGGUGGAGUGUCUUUAGCAAUAAAGCUGCAUCUGUCAUUUGUGGGGUGACCUUUCUUCUUGUGAUUUGCCUCUUACACCAUAAACCUGCAUGGGCAGUUUUGGAACUUCCUCCAUUGUUCAAAUUCUCACUACACCAAGUCAUACACACCCAUGGUCAAUUUUUAGAUGCAUAGAUGAUUCAUGUGGAUAUGGAAAGAACAUAGACUUGCAUACAACACAAACAAUAAUGCAAUUUUUGUAUCACAUUUCUCUGUUGAACGGGAUAACCAAAAAAAAUUCCUAUUCAACAUGUUGCAAGAUUGAAAUGGUUAAUUCAGCAUAUUUAGUUAAAUUUAUAUUUUCAUUUCCUUUCUUUUGGCUUCUCCUCUCUAGUUAACUCCAUGUGCUAUUUGUUAACUCAUAUUCUCUUUUGCCUUGCAGGUUUAGCUUCUCAACCAUGUUUUUCGCUCAUAGUAAGGACCCUUUUGCAUUUUAACAUCCAUAUGCUAUUUUCAGUGAAGAACUUUCAUUUCCCUUUGUCAGUAAUACCAACUCUGGAUUUCCUUGAAUUUUCAGGAGAAAAUACAGUGAGCACACUAGGUCGUAUGGUUCUGAUCAUCUGGCUUUUUGUUGUGUUGAUAAUCAACUCGAGCUACACAGCAAGUCUCACAUCAAUCCUGACUGUCCAACAGUUAUCCUCGCCCAUUAAAGGAAUUGAUACCUUGGUAACUAGCAGUGAACAUAUCGGUUACCAAGUAGGGUCCUUUGCUGAAAACUAUCUGAAUGAGGAACUCAACAUAGCUAAAACCAGACUUGUUGCUCUCGGCUCACCAGAAGAAUACGCUAGUGCCCUUGCAAAUGGAACUGUUGCUGCUGUGGUUGAUGAACGACCUUAUGUGGACCUCUUCCUCUCCGAUCAUUGUCAGUUCUCAAUCAGGGGCCAAGAGUUUACCAAAAGUGGAUGGGGAUUUGUGAGUAUCUCAAGCUGAAACCAAUUCAUUUCUAAGUCUGCUAUUUUCCUUGCUCAAUCAAAGUUAAUUUUCUGGCAAGUUCUGACAACUUAAAUUUGACUCGGUGCAAGUAUAAAUCACAUAAUUUCAUAAAAAAUAUGCCAGAUAUGCCAGAGAGACAUAGGAUAAUUUUAGUUUAUGAUAAUGAAAAGUAUGAAGGAAAUUCGCGGUGCUUUAUGAAAUGGCAGAAAACUUGAACCUGAGUUUAUCAAGCCCCAUGCAACUGUCAUAAGGUUGUUCAGAGUUAUAUUAACAUACAAUAGGGAAAAUUCAAUUACGAACCUGCAACAGGGAAUAGUUAGCUGCAAAACUUUUAGCGGUCAUUAGCUUGCGAUUCAGGUAAGUUGAGCAUAUUAAAAAUGGCCGUAAGAAGCUGUUUAAUCUGUGCUCUUCAAGAGAAGUGAUGGCCUAUUAUGGACUCCAUCAAAUGUAGCAUGUCAGUUGCCCUUCGCCAAUAAAACAGAUAAUGGCAGAUCAUGAUUAUAUUGCCAUAUGUAGUUGUGAUGGCCGAUUAUUAUAAUAUUGCUAUGCAUGGCAGUCUUUGCCUUAUGAUCGCGGUGUCCUCAAGUUCCCAGUGAAAUGGUUUCACUUUUUCUUUCUACUAUUAUUAAUAUUAGGGCUUUUUACAAAAGUUCCGGAAAGUAAAAGAAAA
rnacentral:lncRNA from 1 species